rnacentral:rRNA from 1 species
UACGUAGGGUGCAGGCGUUAAUCGGAAUUACUGGGCGUAAAGCGUGCGCAGGCGGUUUCUUAAGUCAGAUGUGAAAGCCCCGGGCUUAACCUGGGAACUGCGUUUGAAACUGGGAGACUUGAGUGUGGCAGAGGGGGGUGGAAUUCCACGUGUAGCAGUGAAAUGCGUAGAGAUGUGGAGGAAUACCGAUGGCGAAGGCAGCCCCCUGGGAUAAUACUGACGCUCAUGCACGAAAGCGUGGGGAGCAAACAGG